AUGGAUCGAGAGAGAGCUCAGAGAUGAAGAGUGACCUGUUAUAUAGAGGAUUCCCGGUUAGUUACCUCUCUGAUUUUUCUGUUAUUUGUCAGUGAUCAACCAGCUAGCCCUUUUUUGACAGUUAUGAGGUUAGUUUUUCUGUUAUAAAGCUGUUGGGAGUUAGUUAAGUUUGUUUGGAAUUCGGUUAGAGUUUGUUAGUUAGGAAAUGAGACUUAUUUAUAUGGCUGUUUUAGGUAGUUAGGAUCUGUUAGAAAACUGUUAGGUAGUUACAAAUAUGGUUAGAAAUUGGAAAUGUUAGUAAAACUGGUUUUUUGUACAGGGGCUGAUUGUGCUUAGAUAUACGCGGAUGCCGGAUUUUGGUGAAUGCCGUGGCGUUAUGCUGAAAUCCUGAAUGAGGUUUGGAAUGAGAUUGGUUGCAGGCUCGGGACUCAACUCAUAGGCACUGGCGGGAUGUGGUUUUCUUAGUUUGAAAAUAGUUAGCACGUGAAGUCAAGUUCAGCUAAACAGGGGUCCUGUUAGUUGUAAGAGUUUCUGAUGUGGUUUAUUGAAUGAGUGCAGCCCGGUUUUCUUUUAUGUUGUAGAGCGCUGUCAGUUUUGAUUUGCAAUACACAGAAUUGGCUUGAAUGCUCAGAGCUGGAAGUUGGGCUCAGUUUACUUGUUGGUUUAUGCAGGGUGGUUUGGAUUUUGCAGCAAGUAUUCUCGGAUUUCCGUGAGUUGGCUUUGAAUUGGCAGCAUGCACGUCUCGAGAUUUGACCACGUUAUUGCUUGAAUGUGCAGGAGCUGCUCACUUGUGUAAUGGAGAAAUGGAGGAGACGAACCGAGGCAAGCUUUGGCGAGGGACACAACUUUGGCUUAUGUCCACUAGAAUUAGCAAAUCGUUUUGAAUUCGAAACAGGGACUGAAUGUAAUAAAACCUUUGGUAUUUUGUAACCCUUGUAAGAACCUGUCCAUAUCCCGUGUCUUUGUAGAUUGGAUGCUUCAAGACCUUGUCAGAAGUUUAUGGCUUUUUGUAAUGAAAUGUUUGAUUGUGAUUUGUA